AGAGUUUGAUCCUGGCUCAGAUUGAACGCUGGCGGCAGGCCUAACACAUGCAAGUCGAGCGGAUGAGUGGAGCUUGCUCCAUGAUUCAGCGGCGGACGGGUGAGUAAUGCCUAGGAAUCUGCCUGGUAGUGGGGGACAACGUUUCGAAAGGAACGCUAAUACCGCAUACGUCCUACGGGAGAAAGCAGGGGACCUUCGGGCCUUGCGCUAUCAGAUGAGCCUAGGUCGGAUUAGCUAGUAGGUGAGGUAAAGGCUCACCUAGGCGACGAUCCGUAACUGGUCUGAGAGGAUGAUCAGUCACACUGGAACUGAGACACGGUCCAGACUCCUACGGGAGGCAGCAGUGGGGAAUAUUGGACAAUGGGCGAAAGCCUGAUCCAGCCAUGCCGCGUGUGUGAAGAAGGUCUUCGGAUUGUAAAGCACUUUAAGUUGGGAGGAAGGGCAGUAAGUUAAUACCUUGCUGUUUUGACGUUACCAACAGAAUAAGCACCGGCUAACUUCGUGCCAGCAGCCGCGGUAAUACGAAGGGUGCAAGCGUUAAUCGGAAUUACUGGGCGUAAAGCGCGCGUAGGUGGUUCAGCAAGUUGGAGGUGAAAUCCCCGGGCUCAACCUGGGAACUGCCUCCAAAACUACUGAGCUAGAGUACGGUAGAGGGUAGUGGAAUUUCCUGUGUAGCGGUGAAAUGCGUAGAUAUAGGAAGGAACACCAGUGGCGAAGGCGACUACCUGGACUGAUACUGACACUGAGGUGCGAAAGCGUGGGGAGCAAACAGGAUAAGAUACCCUGGUAGUCCACGCCGUAAACGAU
rnacentral:rRNA from 1 species